AUGGAACAGGUGACAUUUCGAGUCGAGACUCUUCAUCUAUCCAUAUUCUCAAGGGAUGCUGCCUGUCCUGCUGAGUUGUCCCAGCACUUUGUGUCCUUUUGUACUUAAUUUAUUGAAACAUGUUAACAAGAAGAAUUAUAUCUCUCUGCAGGACUAAUCAGGAAUGUGAAAUAAUAUGGGCUAAAAUUGAAUGCAUGAUUUAUAUGCUGAAAAAUGUAGGCACAAGGAAUUUCAGAUGCUGGUUUACAAAAAAAGACACAG